rnacentral:misc_RNA from 1 species
GAUGAAGAACGUAGCGAAAUGCGAUACGUAAUGUGAAUUGCAGAAUUCAGUGAAUCAUCGAAUCUUUGAACGCAUAUUGCGCUCUCUGGUAUUCCGGAGAGCAUGCUUGUUUGAGUAUCAGUAAACACCUCAACUUCCAUAUCUUUUUUGAAAUGGGAGUUGGACUUGAGUGAUCCCAACGCUUUUCCUCACCGAAAAGUGGCGGGUUACUUGAAAUGCAGGUGCAGCUGGACUUUUCUCUGAGCUAUAAGCAUAUCUAUUUAGUCUGCCUAAAAAACAGAUUAAUACCUUUGCUGCAGCUAACAUAAAGGAGAUUAGUUCUUGUGCUGACUGAUGCAGGAUUCACAAAGACAGGCUUCGGCCGACUUUGUAAACUCGAUCUCAAAUCAAGUAAGACUACCCGCUGAACUUAAGCAUAUCAAUAAGCGGAGGA